AUUGAACGCUGGCGGCAGGCUUAACACAUGCAAGUCGAACGAGUGGCGGACGGGUGAGUAAUGCCUGGGAAUCUGCCUUAUGGAGGGGGAUAACUACUGGAAACUGUAGCUAAUACCGCGUACCAUCGGCUGAGCCCAUGUGGGAUUAGUUAGUUGGUGGGGUAAAGGCUCACCAAGCCGACGAUCCCUAGCUGGUCUGAGAGGAUGACCAGCCACACUGGGACUGAGACACGGUCCAGACUCCUACGGGAGGCAGCAGUGGGGAAUAUUGCGCAAUGGGGGCAAGCCUGACGCAGCCAUGCCGCGUGUAUGAAGAAGGCCUUCGGGUUGUAAAGUACUUUCGGUGGGGAGGCGUUACCCGCAGAAGAAGCACCGGCUAACUCCGUGCCAGCAGCCGCGGUAAUUC
rnacentral:rRNA from 1 species